AGCUCUUGAGUUCUCACAGUGACAAUUACAUGCUUUAGCCUGCGUGAGUUACAAGUUACUUUUACUCAGUGGCCAUAGCUAGCUGCAUCCUCCACCCAACCAAAGGUAGUCAGGUAGUGCAAUAUUACCAUUGCCCAGAAGAGUACAAAUUGGAAACAUUUGGGGAAUAACACCAAAGACUACAGUUGUAGGCUGAAUAAUAGCUCACAAAGAUAUCAGGUUCUAAUCCUUGGAAUCUGUAAAUGUUACAUUAUUGGAAAAGAGUCUUUGCCAAUGUGAUUAAGCUAAGGAUCUUAAGAGUGGGAGAUCAUCGAAUUAGGCCCUAAAUGACACAGUAUGCAUCUUUGUAAAAGGAAGGCAGAGAGAGAUUUGACACAGGCAGAAGGGGAGGAGGCAAUGUGACCAUGGAGGCAGAGACUGGAGUCAGGCAGUGAUACAGUUGGUCACCAGAAGCUGAAAGAGAUUUGAACAGAUCCAUGGACUUUGCCCUGCCUUAGCUGCUUUGAAGCAUUUUAUGAAGAGGAACUGGUUCCAUCUGGGCAUAACUUCAAGUGGAACUAGGAGGCCGUCAGUUUUCUCAUAAUCUCUAAAGAGUGCUGUGAUAAGAAAUGGCCAUUUUCUUGCCAAGUGUCCCUUGUAGGGCAAUAUUCCUUUAUAGU
rnacentral:lncRNA from 1 species